rnacentral:lncRNA from 1 species
UGGUUCUCACAUAGUCACAUACACAUAUACAUCUUCUGAAAAUCAUAGAACAUGAAUUUUGUGAAAUAAAAUCAACAAGGAUGAGUGAAAUAAAAUCCAAGGGAAUUGAUAAAACCUUCUGAUUCUGUCCCAAAGAUGCCCAUCAAUUUUCCACCAUUGCCAUAGGCAUUGAAGUCUUGAACAUCACGUAUAUUAGAUUCUUUUGGUCUUCCAUAUAUCCCAUAUAUUUUCCCUUUGUUGGUGGCAAAAACAACGGAGCUAAUUCGGAUUCUAUUCCCCAUUUUUCCAAAAGAACCUUUCACAUGAGUUAUGUACUCAUCAGAAUUCAGAUUAACCUUAAAAGAAAACAAAAGUUCAAACCUAAAAGACAUUAAAGUUUCGAAAAAUGAAGAAGAAGAAGAAUAAAUGCGUCAAUAUAUAACAACAGAUUACCCUAUAUAAGCCUCCACCGAAUCCUCCAGCAUGGUGUGAAUCACCUCUCUGACAUUGAAUCUCAAUAGAAUCAAUUAUGUGUCCUGAACGGAUAGUCAACUUUUGUACGACGCCAUCUCUACCGGUACGAUUGAACUCAAAACGGGUUCCCAUAGUUGCGCAUCCGAAUUCUCUAGUUGGAUAACAUACUUCACCCAUAUCUACAAAUCAACAAAAUAUCAAAAAAACAAACACGAGGAGUUGAGGUAGGAAGAAG